rnacentral:rRNA from 1 species
AACGAACGCUGGCGGCGUGCCUAACACAUGCAAGUCGAACGGAAUGAGGGGCUUGCUCCUCAUUUAGUGGCGCACGGGUGAGUAACGCGUAGAUAAUCUGCCUGGUGAUCUGGAAUAACAUCUCGAAGGGGGUGCUAAUACCGGAUAAGCCCACGGGUUCUUUGGAGCCUGCGGGAAAAGGGGGGGACCUUCGGGCCUUCUGUCAUCAGAUGAGUCUGCGUACCAUUAGCUAGUUGGUAGGGUAAUGGCCUACCAAGGCGACGAUGGUUAGCUGGUCUGAGAGGAGGAUCAGCGACACUGGAACUGGGACACGGUCCAGACUCCUACGGGAGGUAGCAGUGGGGAAUUUUGCGCAAUGGGCGAAAGCCUGACGCAGCAACGCCGCGUGAGUGAUGAAGGCUUUCGGGUCAUAAAGCUCUGUCAAGGGGAAAGAAGUGUAUUGUGGUUAAUACCCGCGAUACUUGACGGUACCCCUGAAGGAAGCACCGGCUAACUCCGUGCCAGCCGCCGCAGUAAUAC